CCAUUUUAGUACUAUUAGAGCAUCAUUAUCGGGCUUCUUAGCCCGAUUCUUAUUUUUACUUUGGGCCAAAUUUAAAUAAAAAAAGGAGUUAAUUAAUGGAAUCGAUUUUUACCUAAGAAGUUUUUGGUAGUGUUGCUUGUGUCACGUGGCGAGUUGUGAUAGGAGAUAGGAGACAGCGAAGACGAUGGCGAUGUUAGAGACCAUGAGCAAAUGCUUCUCCUCCUCAUCAUCAUCCUUUUCGUCUGCAAGCCAUGGCGCUUCCUUCUCUGUUCCUGAUCCUCUCCUUUCUCUACCUUCAAGGUGGGGGAUUUGCAGAGACCGCUUGUAUCUCAUGAUGAGAAUCUGAUCCAAGGCCAAAGCAGUGAGGUCUCAAGGGAAUUUGAUUUAGAAGAAGCUUGUUUCCAAAACGAAGGCCUGUUGCGUUCUUCUCUCACUGAGGGACGAGGGGUUUACAAACCAAGGCUUCCUUCUUCUUCUUCUUCUCCCCAUCUCGCCCAAGGUAAAGUCUUUCAGCAUCCCUCUUCCCUAUCCAGUCGGCAUUCUUGAGCUUAUCCAUCGGGUCCUUAAAAUUUAUGAAGGUGAAAGCUUUGAUCUACAAAUAAUCUCUGAACCUUCUGACAAUGCUUUGGUGGGGGAGACGCUUAAGCAUCCAGCUGAUAAAGUUAGCUCCCAAGAGGUGCAAACCUAUGGCUCGCAGCAACCUGAUUUGGAAAAGGAUAUACUUUCCCAGCUUUCUCCAAGAGUUGUUGUUAAAGAUCAAAGUAAUUUCCUUUUAUUUUGUUUUCCUAAGUUUAUAAAUAAUACAACUUCAAUCUAUAUCUUUAAUUAGUCGUGCAAGAUAUAUAACAUAUCUUGUGUUAGAUAUACACCUAAGCAUUGUAUAUCUAAAUGGUCUCUGUAAGUUUUAUCUGAAUGGUCUCUGUAAGUUUUAUCUGAAUGGUUGAACUUGAAGGUGUUGCUGAUAAAUUCUUAAGUAUGUGGAUGAACUAAGAUUCCAUUGAUAAUGUUGUAUUUUACUUAAGUAUCUUAGAAAACUUCUUAGACUAAAAAUAGUAAUUAAAAAUUCUAAGAUGUUUGCUAA